rnacentral:rRNA from 1 species
UACGGGGGGAGCAAGCGUUGUUCGGAUUUACUGGGCGUAAAGGGCGCGUAGGCGGCCAGCACAAGUCAGUUGUGAAAUCUCCGAGCUUAACUCGGAAAGGUCAACUGAUACUGUGCGGCUAGAGUGCAGAAGGGGCAACUGGAAUUCUUGGUGUAGCGGUGAAAUGCGCAGAUAUCAGGAGGAACACCCGUAGCGAAGGCGGCACUCUGGGCCGGAACUGACGCUGAGACGCGAAAGCGUGGGGAGCGAACAGG